rnacentral:piRNA from 1 species
UUUUCUGGGGAAAGGGGACAAGG